UGUGGUUGUUUCUUCGUUCCAAUUUACCGUAUUCAUGCAUAUUCUUUGGUUGUUCUCUUCCCUUGAUUUAUAGUUUUCGUUUUAGGAUUUUUAGUAUUCAUGAAGCCAGUUAGGGGAGGUUGAUCUGUGUACAAUAAGCCGAUGCUCUGGAAAUAAGGAAUGAAGGAAGCAUGGUAGUGUGCACAGAAAUCGAAUUCAUAGGUCGACAUGUCUGCUCCCUCUGAUGCUUUCUGAUUUGGGGGCCUGGUUUAGACCUACAUCUUAAUGUCUUAUCUCAAUCUCUGCUCUCUAGUUUACCUCUUUACUUUAUCGAUUUUGCUAGGUUCGUUAAUCAUUUUCAGGCGUAAAUGCGAUGCGAAUUUACUAGGAUUCUUCUCCUGUUUCCAAUUUAUCUGUUUACUCUAUUGAUUUUACUAGGUUCGUAUAAUUUUCAGGGGAUAAUGCGGUAGGAAUUGACUAGAAAUUACCUUCAGACUAACUAUUAACACAAUCGAGAAACCUAGCGGGAAUUUCUCUUGAAAAUGUAAGUAGAUGACGAGUUAUUUUCUUUUGUCUGCGAUCGAUCUAUAGUGGAGGCUGGAUCGUUAUUUAGAUGAUCGGAUUUAACAGAUUUGAGUAGUAAUGAAAUCCCUCUUUGGUCGACGUGAUAGUCUGGUAGGUUUCUCUCUAGUUUCUACUCUAACGAAGGAAAUGCCUCUUUGAGUAGCCGUGUGGAUUAGGUUUCAUAUCGUGCUUAGUUAGGAGGCAGACAACAAGGUAGUUAUUACUUAGAAGCAUACUUGAGAGGUUUUUUCAAACAUUUUCGUGAAUCUUCCUCCAAGCAGCUUCGAACAUUUUCAAAUUUUGCCGAAUAUACCUUGUUUAUUUUUUCAAACAUUUUCGUGAAUCUUCCUCCAAACAGCUUCGAACAUUUUCAAAUUUUGCCGAAUAUACCUUGUUUAUUUUCUUCUCAUUUGUUCUUGGUUGGAAUGUGACGGAAAUGAGAUUUGAAAUUACAUUUAGUACGAAAAAAAUGCAUUUUUGUUCGUUUGCUGGGAAUUUAAAAUACUAUUUGAUUUUAUAAUUUCGUUGAAUUUGAUUUUAUAAUUUCUAUAAACGGUUCCAUUUUCUAAUUUGUUAUUAUAAGAUUAUAUUACCGAAUUUCCGUCCUGGGAUCGUCUCUUGAAGGCUUUAUCUAGCCGUUCUCCUGGAUUGAUCUUAGUUACAAAUGGUAAUGUAGAAUAACAUAGAGCUCCGAUUCAGCUUUAAUGUUUUUAGUGUUCGUCCUUGGUAGCAGCAUCUCCUAUUGAUCAAUUAGAGUGACACCACAUCCUUGGCGCCAAUCUACUAAAACGCCUGGUAGGAUUCAAAUGGUUGGCAUGAUGACCCCCUCCGCCUUUGCCGAUCUGUAUUGAGACCGUCUUAUUGCGCUCCUUCUAGCAUACAAGCCGGAAUCGAAAUUUAUUAAUACUAGUAUGAUAGUCGAUAUUUUUCUCUUUUCGUUUUAUCGGAACAAUUCAAAAACAGGACGAAAACAGCCUUUCAAUCCAGCGAGCAUGAUGUAGCCCUUUCAUUCUCUGGACAUAAUCCUGAAUUCUGUCUUGUUAAUUUUGUGGAUUUGCAUUCUCUAAUGUGAUAUUGAUUAAAUUAUUUUUU